GACGAACGCUGGCGGCGUGCUUAACACAUGCAAGUCGAACGGAAAGGCCCUGCUUUUGUGGGGUGCUCGAGUGGCGAACGGGUGAGUAACACGUGAGUAACCUGCCCUUGACUUUGGGAUAACUUCAGGAAACUGGGGCUAAUACCGGAUAGGAGCUCCUGCUGCAUGGUGGGGGUUGGAAAGUUUCGGCGGUUGGGGAUGGACUCGCGGCUUAUCAGCUUGUUGGUGGGGUAGUGGCUUACCAAGGCUUUGACGGGUAGCCGGCCUGAGAGGGUGACCGGCCACAUUGGGCCUGCGAGACGGCCCAGACUCCUACGGGAGGCAGCAGUGGGGAAUAUUGCACAAUGGGCGGAAGCCUGAUGCAGCAACGCCGCGUGCGGGAUGACGGCCUUCGGGUUGUAAACCGCUUUCGCCUGUGACGAAGCGUGAGUGACGGUAAUGGGUAAAGAAGCACCGGCUAACUACGUG
rnacentral:rRNA from 1 species